rnacentral:rRNA from 1 species
GAUUCUGGCUCAGGAUGAACGCUAGCUACAGGCUUAACACAUGCAAGUCGAGGGGCAUCAUGGAGUUGCUUGCAAACUCUGAUGGCGACCGGCGCACGGGUGAGUAACGCGUAUCCAACCUUCCCUAUAGUAGAGGAUAGCCCGGCGAAAGUCGGAUUAAUACUCUAUGUUUUCCGUUGCAGACAUCUAAGAUGGAACAAAGGCUUGCCGCUAUAGGAUGGGGAUGCGUCUGAUUAGGUAGUCGGCGGGGUAACGGCCCGCCGAGCCAUCGAUCAGUAGGGGUUCUGAGAGGAAGGUCCCCCACAUUGGAACUGAGACACGGUCCAAACUCCUACGGGAGGCAGCAGUGAGGAAUAUUGGUCAAUGGGCGAGAGCCUGAACCAGCCAAGUAGCGUGACAGGACGACCGGCCCUAGUGGGUUAGUAAACUGUCUUUUAUGCGGGGAUAAAGUUCACUACGUGUAGUGUUUUGUAGGUACCGCAUGAAUAAGGACCGGCUAAUUCCGUGCCAGCAGCUGC